GACGAACGCUGGCGGCGUGCUUAACACAUGCAAGUCGAACGGAAAGGCCCUGCUUUUGUGGGGUGCUCGAGUGGCGAACGGGUGAGUAACACGUGAGUAACCUGCCCUUGACUUUGGGAUAACUUCAGGAAACUGGGGCUAAUACCGGAUAGGAGCUCCUGCUGCACGGUGGGGGUUGGAAAGUUUCGGCGGUUGGGGAUGGACUCGCGGCUUAUCAGCUUGUUGGUGGGGUAGUGGCUUACCAAGGCUUUGACGGGUAGCCGGCCUGUGAGGGUGACCGGCCACAUUGGGACUGAGAUACGGCCCAGACUCCUCCGGGAGGCAGCAGUGGGGAAUAUUGCACAAUGGGCGGAAGCCUGAUGCAGCAACGCCGCGUGCGGGAUGACGGCCUUCGGGUUGUAAACCGCUUUCGCCUGUGACGAAGCGUGAGUGACGGUAAUGGGUAAAGAAGCACCGGCUAACUACGUG
rnacentral:rRNA from 1 species